UUUGCCUACGGGGGGCAGCAGUGGGGAAUAUUGCACAAUGGGGGAAACCCUGAUGCAGCGACGCCGCGUGAGUGAAGAAGUAUUUCGGUAUGUAAAGCUCUAUCAGCAGGGAAGAAAAUGACGGUACCUGACUAAGAAGCCCCGGCUAACUACGUGCCAGCAGCCGCGGUAAUACGUAGGGGGCAAGCGUUAUCCGGAUUUACUGGGUGUAAAGGGAGCGCAGGCGGCACGGCAAGCCUGAUGUGAAAGCCCGCGGCCCAACCGCGGGACUGCAUUGGGAACUACCGGGCUGGAGUGCCGGGGAG
rnacentral:rRNA from 1 species